AGACUUUGAUCCUGGCUCAGAACGAACGCUGGCGGCAUGCCUAAUACAUGCAAGUCGAACGCCGACGCACUCUGCUUGCAGAGUGUUGAGGAGUGGCGAACGGGUGAGUAACACGUGGAGAACCUGCCCAUAAGAGGGGGAUAACAUCCGGAAACGGGUGCUAAUACCGCAUAGGUGGCUGGAGCGCAUGCUCUAGUCAUGAAAGACGGCUUCGGCUGUCGCUUAUGGAUGGCUCCGCGGCGUAUUAGCUAGUUGGUGAGGUAAUGGCUCACCAAGGCAGUGAUACGUAGCCGACCUGAGAGGGUGAUCGGCCACACUGGGACUGAGACACGGCCCAGACUCCUACGGGAGGCAGCAGUAGGGAAUCUUCCACAAUGGGCGAAAGCCUGAUGGAGCAAUGCCGCGUGAGUGAAGAAGGUUUUCGGAUCGUAAAGCUCUGUUGUUAGAGAAGAACAAGAGGUGUAGUAACUGGCACCUCCUUGACGGUAUCUAACCAGAAAGUCACGGCUAACUAACG
rnacentral:rRNA from 1 species